rnacentral:rRNA from 1 species
CUACGGGUCGCUCCAGUGGGGAAUAUUGGACAAUGGGCGCAAGCCUGAUCCAGCAAUGCCGCGUGAGUGAAGACGGCCUUAGGGUUGUAAAACUCUUUCGCUAGGGAAGAUAAUGACUGUACCUAGUAAAGAAGUCCCGGCUAACUCCGUGCCAGCAGCCGCGGUAAUAAGGAGGGGACUAGCGUUGUUCGGAAUUACUGGGCGUAAAGAGUUCGUAGGCGGACUGACAAGUUAGAGGUGAAAUCCCAGGGCUCAACCCUGGAACUGCCUUUAAAACUGUCAGUCUAGAGACCGGAAGAGGUUAGGGGAAUACCUAGUGUAGAGGUGAAAUUCGUAGAUAUUAGGUGGAACACCAGUGGCGAAGGCGCCUAACUGGUCCGGUACUGACGCUGAGGAACGAAAGCGUGGGGAGCAAACAGGAUUAGAUACCCUCGUAGUC